rnacentral:rRNA from 1 species
GGGAAACUGCCUGAUGGAGGGGGAUAACUACUGGAAACGGUAGCUAAUACCGCAUAACGUCGCAAGACCAAAGAGGGGGACCUUCGGGCCUCUUGCCAUCAGAUGUGCCCAGAUGGGAUUAGCUAGUAGGUGGGGUAACGGCUCACCUAGGCGACGAUCCCUAGCUGGUCUGAGAGGAUGACCAGCCACACUGGAACUGAGACACGGUCCAGACUCCUACGGGAGGCAGCAGUGGGGAAUAUUGCACAAUGGGCGCAAGCCUGAUGCAGCCAUGCCGCGUGUAUGAAGAAGGCCUUCGGGUUGUAAAGUACUUUCAGCGGGGAGGAAGGGAGUAAGGUUAAUAACCUUAUUCAUUGACGUUACCCGCAGAAGAAGCACCGGCUAACUCCGUGCCAGCAGCCGCGGUAAUACGGAGGGUGCAAGCGUUAAUCGGAAUUACUGGGCGUAAAGCGCACGCAGGCGGUCUGUCAAGUCGGAUGUGAAAUCCCCGGGCUCAACCUGGGAACUGCAUUCGAAACUGGCAGGCUGGAGUCUUGUAGAGGGGGGUAGAAUUCCAGGU